rnacentral:rRNA from 1 species
UGCAGGAUGGGCCCGCAUCUGAUUAGCUAGUUGGUGAGAUAACAGCCCACCAAGGCGACGAUCAGUAGCCGACCUGAGAGGGUGACCGGCCACAUUGGGACUGAGACACGGCCCAAACUCCUACGGGAGGCAGCAGUGGGGAAUAUUGCACAAUGGGCGAAAGCCUGAUGCAGCAACGCCGCGUGAAGGAAGAAGGGUUUCGGCUCGUAAACUUCUAUCAACAGGGACGAAAGAAAUGACGGUACCUGAAUAAGAAGCCCCGGCUAACUACGUGCCAGCAGCCGCGGUAAUACGUAGGGGGCAAGCGUUAUCCGGAAUUACUGGGUGUAAAGGGUGAGUAGGCGGCAUGGUAAGCCAGAUGUGAAAGCCUUGGGCUUAACCCGAGGAUUGCAUUUGGAACUAUCAAGCUAGAGUACAGGAGAGGAAAGCGGAAUUCCUAGUGUAGCGGUGAAAUGCGUAGAUAUUAGGAAGAACACCAGUGGCGAAGGCGGCUUUCUGGACUGAAACUGACGCUGAGGCACGAAAGCGUGGGGAGCGAACAGGAUUAGAUACCCUGGUAGUCCACGC